rnacentral:rRNA from 1 species
UUGGCUCAGAAGCAGCCAUCCUUUAAAGAGUGCGUAAUAGCUCACUAGUCGAGUGACACUGCGCCGAAGAUGUACCGGGGCUAAGUACAAUACCGAAAUUGCGGAUUUACACAUAAGUGUAAGUGGUAGGGGAGCGUUCCAAGGGCGUUGAAGGUUGACCGUGAGGACAGCUGGAGCGCUUGGAAGUGAGAAUGCCGGUGUGAGUAGCGCAAGAUGGGUGAGAAUCCCAUCCACCGUUUGCCUAAGGUUUCCUGGGCGAGGUUCGUCCUCCCAGGGUUAGUCGGGUCCUAAGACGAGGCCGAGAGGCGUAGCCGAUGGACAACAGGUUGAUAUUCCUGUACUAUCUAUAAGACUGAUGGAGUGACGGAGAAAGAUAGGAAGAGCCAGUUAAUGGAUUCUGGUCUAAGCACAAAGGUUGAUAAAAAGGGAAAUCCGUUUAUCGUUCAACUGAAGUGUGAUGGUGAAGUACCUAGUACGAAAUCUUCUGACUCUAUGCUUCCAAGAAAAGCUUCUAGGGUUAAUCUUAUAGAUACCCGUACCGAGAACCGACACAGGUGGGCAAGGAGAGUAUCCUAAGGUGAGCGAGAGAACUAUGGUUAAGGAACUCGGCAAAAUGACCCCGUAACUUCGGGAUAAGGGGUGGUCAAGCGAUUGACCCGCAGUAAAGAGGCCCAGGCAACUGUUUACCAAAAACACAGGUUUCUGCAAAAGCGCAAGCUGAAGUAUAGGAGCUGACGCCUGCCCAGUGCUGGAAGGUUAAUAGGAGAGCUUAGAUGUGACGAAAGUCGAUAGCAUCGAAGGUUCGAAUUGAAGCCCCAGUGAACGGCGGCCGUAACUAUAACGGUCCUAAGGUAGCGAAAUUCCUUGUCAGGUAAGUUCUGACCCGCACGAAAGGCGUAAUGAUCUGGGUACUGUCUCAACCAUAGACUCGGUGAAAUCUUAUUACCUGUGAAAAUGCAGGUUACCCGCGACUGGACGAGAAGACCCCAUGGAGCUUUACUAUAGCUUGAUAUUGAGGUUUGGUAAGUUAUGUAGAGAAUAGGUGGGAGACUGAGAGAUAUCGGCGCCAGCUGAUAAGGAGUCAGCAAUGGAAUACCACCCUUAACUUAUUGAACUUCUAACCUAGGUCCAUAAUCUGGAUCAGGGACAGUGUCUGGUGGGUAGUUUGACUGGGGCGGUCGCCUCCCAAAAAGUAACGGAGGCGCCCAAAGGUUCCCUCAGAAUGGUUGGAAAUCAUUCGAAGAGCGUAAAGGUAUAAGGGAGCUUAACUGCGAGACCAACAAGUCGAGCAGAUACGAAAGUAGGGCUUAGUGAUCAGACGAUGCAGAAUGGAAUGGUCGUCGCUUAACGGAUAAAAGUUACCCUGGGGAUAACAGGCUGAUACCACCCAAUAGUUCACAUAGACGGUGGUGUUUGGCACCUCGAUGUCGGCUCGUCACAUCCUGGAGGUGAAGUCGCUUCCAAGGGUUGGGCUGUUCGCCCAUUAAAGUGGCACGCGAGCUGGGUUCAGAACGUCGUGAGACAGUUCGGUC